UUAGUGGAAGCGUCUGGAAAGGCGCGCGAUACAGGGUGACAGCCCCGUACACAAAAGCGCAUGUGCUGUGAGCUCGAUGAGUAGGGCGGGACACGUGGUAUCCUGUCUGAAUAUGGGGGGACCAUCCUCCAAGGCUAAAUACUCCUGACUGACCGAUAGUGAACCAGUACCGUGAGGGAAAGGCGAAAAGAACCCCGGCGAGGGGAGUGAAAAAGAACCUGAAACCGUGUACGUACAAGCAGUGGGAGCACCCUUUUGGGUGUGACUGCGUACCUUUUGUAUAAUGGGUCAGCGACUUAUAUUCUGUAGCAAGGUUAACCGUAUAGGGGAGCCGGAGGGAAACCGAGUCUUAACCGGGCGUUAAGUUGCAGGGUAUAGACCCGAAACCCGGUGAUCUAGCCAUGGGCAGGUUGAAGGUUGGGUAACACUAACUGGAGGACCGAACCGACUAAUGUUGAAAAAUUAGCGGAUGACCUGUGGCUGGGGGUGAAAGGCCAAUCAAACCGGGAGAUAGCUGGUUCUCCCCGAAAGCUAUUUAGGUAGCGCCUCGUGAAUUCAUCUCCGGGGGUAGAGCACUGUUUCGGCUAGGGGGCCAUCCCGGCUU
rnacentral:rRNA from 1 species